rnacentral:rRNA from 1 species
AUGGCUCAGAUUGAACGCUGGCGGCAGGCCUAACACAUGCAAGUCGAACGGUAACAGGAAGCAGCUUGCUUCUUCGCUGACGAGUGGCGGACGGGUGAGUAAUGUCUGGGAAACUGCCUGAUGGAGGGGGAUAACUACUGGAAACGGUAGCUAAUACCGCAUAACGUCGCAAGACCAAAGAGGGGGACCUUCGGGCCUCUUGCCAUCGGAUGUGCCCAGAUGGGAUUAGCUUGUGGUGGGGUAACGGCUCACCAGGCGACGAUCCCUAGCUGGUCUGAGAGGAUGACCAGCCACACUGGAACUGAGACACGGUCCAGACUCCUACGGGAGGCAGCAGUGGGGAAUAUUGCACAAUGGGCGCAAGCCUGAUGCAGCCAUGCCGCGUGUAUGAAGAAGGCCUUCGGGUUGUAAAGUACUUUCAGCGGGGAGGAAGGGAGUAAAGUUAAUACCUUUGCUCAUUGACGUUACCCGCAGAAGAAGCACCGGCUAACUCCGUGCCAGCAGCCGCGGUAAUACGGAGGGUGCAAGCGUUAAUCGGAAUUACUGGGCGUAAAGCGCACGCAGGCGGUUUGUUAAGUCAGAUGUGAAAUCCCCGGGCUCAACCUGGGAACUGCAUCUGAUACUGGCAAGCUUGAGUCUCGUAGAGGGGGGUAGAAUUCCAGGUGUAGCGGUGAAAUGCGUAGAGAUCUGGAGGAAUACCGGUGGCGAAGGCGGCCCCCUGGACGAAGAC